CUCCUCCCCUGGUACCCGUCGGGCCCCGCCCCUGCCACGCCCUCCAGGCCCCGCCCUCGCGUCUGCCCUGCCCCUCCCCUCCCCCCACCCCUGGGCCCCGCCCCUUCCCCACCCCCACCCCCAGGGCCCCGCCUGCGUCCCGGUGUCUUGGUGUCUUCGCAGCGGCGCCCUGGGACCUGGAGGCUGGGAUAUGGCCACCAUGUCCCAGCGCUUCGUGGUGACCCCCGCGGCGGGAGGGGCGGGGGACGCGGGGCUCCGGCCCCGGGACGGCGGCAGCCAGAGCUCCAGCUUCGGCCAGGUCCCCAACCCGGACCCUGCAGCCUCCCCGGAGCCUCGGGGAGUGGACGCGCUGCCCAUUCUGCGCUAUUGCCGAGAGCCCAACCGCUACGGAAGCAAAGCCUGGCAAGGCCUCCCCGGAGUCUGUCUGUUGGUGGGGCUCCUGCCUGCAUGUUCUCAGACUCAAUCUGGCAGGUACUUCUCACUCCUGUGUGUGAUCUGAUCCUGGAGGCGGGGCUGGGUGGGAGGCUGGGCGAGCCCGGGACAUCCCAGCACCAGGAGUGGGCCACCUGGCCACCAGGUGUACAAUGGCCAGGCCAGCAGACAGCAGGAGCCAGGCAGCUCCCCGGGGGCCAUGAAGGGGGUGAGACUACAGUCUCAAGACAGGGCGUGUGUCACUUUGAAACAAGGAACUUUUGUUGGUUUGUUUGCUGGCCACACCGCGACAGGCGGAGUUCAGGGCCAGGGAUCGAACCUGUGCCGCAGCAGUGACUUAAGCCACAGCGCUGACAAUGCUGGGUCUUUAACUUGUUGAGCCACCAGGGAACUCCAGGAACUUUUGUUUGCUUUUGCUUGUUUUUAAAUUGAAGAGCAGUUAAGUUACAAAGUUGCGUUAGUUUCAGGUGUACAGCUGCCCUCCCCUCCCGCCUGGCUCCUUGGCCCUUUCGCCUGGUGACAGCUGGGCUUUGUUUGUUUCUCAGGUGACAAUGACGUGAUUCAGAGGCCAGGCAAUUGUUCUGCAGAACCCCAGGGCCACUAAGGUGCUGGGGCAGGUGGCCUGGCCCCCCCUGCUCAGAGAGGGUGAUGGCCCUGGGGACAGGGCUUCUGAGGGGUUCAGACUGGGGUCACCACCAAGGGAGCCCAGGGAGGAGGGGCCCAGACUGGGGUCACAGUGGGAGUUGGGGGGCCGGGGGCCGGGCCUUAAGAGCUGGAUGCGGGGCCCUCGAGGACGAGGGCCCCACGAACUCAGCCCUCCACUCUGAGUGCCAGCUGCCUCUGCCGAGGCUUUACUGGCAGAGCCCAGGGCCAGAGGGCUGCCUCCUCCUCGCAGUCUGGGCGGGUCCCCGGCUGUGUUGUGACCAUUAAGGGUAAAAACAAGCGUUUUACAGAUGAGGAAACUGAGGCCAGAGGUCAAGGUCAUUUGCAGGGGCCAGGAGAGGGUCUCUGCUCCUGUUCAGAAGCUGUGGUUGUUCCUCCAACUUUAGCAAAGACUCAGCCGCUGUUGGGAGGGUGGCCGGGGCG
rnacentral:lncRNA from 1 species